rnacentral:rRNA from 1 species
UACGAAGGGGGCUAGCGUUGCUCGGAAUCACUGGGCGUAAAGAGCGUGUAGGCGGCCAUGUAGGUCCGUUGUGAAAACUCGAGGCUCAACCUCGAGACGCCGGUGGAAACCGUAAGGCUAGAGUCCGGAAGAGGAGAGUGGAAUUCCUGGUGUAGCGGUGAAAUGCGCAGAUAUCAGGAGGAACACCCGUGGCGAAAGCGGCUCUCUGGGACGGUACUGACGCUGAGACGCGAAAGCGUGGGGAGCAAACAGG